AUGUCUUGCUCCUCCGGUGAUUCAUCGGCUUCUCGAGGCGGUGGGCUCCGAAGGAGAGGCGCAGCAGUAGCAAGGUCUCCGGUGCCCUAUCGGGAGCAGCCAAUGGCUUACGAGCCGCCGGUGAUUUGCGCUCGGUGCGGCAGGAAGGCGCCGCGAUGGAUAUCCUGGAGUGCGGCGAACCCUGGUAGGAGAUAUUAUUCCUGCGUAGAUUCUCUGACUGCACAGCAUGGCUUUAUCGACUGGCAUGACACCCCUACGACUCCAUUUCUUCGUCAAUUGCUAGGAGACCUACGGGAUAAAGUGUGGAGGCUGGAGGAUGGCUUGCUAGCCAGUCAAGGGAAGGAGAGGUUGCAGUUUUGA
rnacentral:rRNA from 1 species